rnacentral:rRNA from 1 species
GAUGAACGCUGGCGGCGUGCUUAACACAUGCAAGUCGAACGAUGAAGCCCAGCUUGCUGGGUGGAUUAGCGGCGAACGGGUGAGUAACACGUGAGUAACCUGCCCUUAACUCUGGGAUAAGCCUGGGAAACUGGGUCUAAUACCGGAUAGGAGCGUCCACCGCAUGGUGGGUGUUGGAAAGAUUUAUCGGUUUUGGAUGGACUCGCGGCCUAUCAGCUUGUUGGUGAGGUAAUGGCUCACCAAGGCGACGACGGGUAGCCGGCCUGAGAGGGUGACCGGCCACACUGGGACUGAGACACGGCCCAGACUCCUACGGGAGGCAGCAGUGGGGAAUAGUGCACAAUGGGCGCAAGCCUGAUGCAGCGACGCCGCGUGAGGGAUGACGGCCUUCGGGUUGUAAACCUCUUUCAGUAGGGAAGAAGCGAAAGUGACGGUACCUGCAGAAGAAGCACCGGCUAACUACGUG